CCUACGGGUGGCAGCAGUGAGGAAUAUUGGUCAAUGGGCGCGAGCCUGAACCAGCCAAGUAGCGUGAAGGAUGACUGCCCUACGGGUUGUAAACUUCUUUUAUAAAGGAAUAAAGUGAGGCACGUGUGCCUUUUUGUAUGUACUUUAUGAAUAAGGAUCGGCUAACUCCGUGCCAGCAGCCGCGGUAAUACGGAGGAUCCGAGCGUUAUCCGGAUUUAUUGGGUUUAAAGGGAGCGUAGAUGGGUUGUUAAGUCAGUGGUGAAAGUUUGCGGCUCAACCGGAAAAUUGCAAUUGAUACUGGCGUUCUUGAGAACUGGAGAGGAAGGCGGAAUUCGUGGGGUAGAGGUGAAAUGCUUAGAUAUUAGGAAGAACCCCGAUAGCGAAGGCGGUUUACUAAACUGCCAAUGACGUUGAUGCUCGAAAGUGUGGGGAUCAAACAGGAUUAGAUACCCGGGUAGUC
rnacentral:rRNA from 1 species